rnacentral:rRNA from 1 species
GAUGAACGCUGGCGGCGUGCCUAACACAUGCAAGUCGAGCGAACAGACGAGGAGCUUGCUCCUCUGACGUUAGUGGCGGACGGGUGUGUAACAUGUGGAUAACCUACCUAUUUGACAGGGAUAACUUCGCGAAACCUGAGCUAAUACCGUAAAAUAUAUUGAACCGCAUGGUUCAAUAGUCAAAUACGUUUUUGCCGUCCCUUAUAGAUGUGUCCCCGCCCCAUUAGCCAGUUGGUAAGGUAACGGCUUACCAAGGCGUCCAUGCCUAGCCGACCCGAGAGGGUGACACCCCACACUGGGCCGCCGACACGGUCCACACUCCUACGGGCGGCAGCGGUCGGCCAUCUUCCGCAGCAGGCUGGAGCCUGACCGCGCAGCGCCGCGUGAGUGAUGAAGGUCUUCGCAUCGUAGAACCAUGUUAUUACGGAAGAACAAAUUUGUAAGUAACUAUACACGUCUUGGCGGUACCUAUUAAAAAAGCCCCGGCUAACUCCGUG